rnacentral:rRNA from 1 species
GACGAACGCUGGCGGCGUGCUUAACACAUGCAAGUCGAACGGAAAGGCCCCUUCGGGGGUACUCGAGUGGCGAACGGGUGAGUAACACGUGAGUAACCUGCCCUUGACUUCGGGAUAACUUCAGGAAACUGGGGCUAAUACCGGAUAGGAAUCCUUGCUGCAUGGUGGGGGUUGGAAAGCUUCGGCGGUUUUGGAUGGACUCGCGGCUUAUCAGCUUGUUGGUGGGGUAGUGGCUUACCAAGGCUUUGACGGGUAGCCGGCCUGAGAGGGCGACCGGCCACAUUGGGACUGGGGUACGGCCCAGACUCCUACGGGAGGCAGCAGGGGGGAAUAUUGCACAAUGGGGGGGAGCCUGAUGCAGCAACGCCGCGGGCGGGAAGACGGCCUUCGGGUUGUAAACCGCUUUCAGCAGGGGAGAAGCUUGUGGUGACGGUACCUGCAGAAGAAGCACCGGCUAACUACGUG